rnacentral:rRNA from 1 species
GUCCACGCCCUAACGAUGGACACUAGGUGUGGGAGGUAUCGACCCCUUCCGUGCCGUAGCAAACGCAUUAAGUGUCCCGCCUGGGGAGUACGGUCGCAAGAUUAAAACUCAAAGGAAUUGACGGGCCCGCACAAGCGGUGGAGCAUGUGGUUUAAUUCGACGCAACGCGAAGAACCUUACCUGGGCUUGACAUCCCUGGAACCCCUAUGAAAGUAGGGGUGCCUAGCAAUAGGAGCCAGGAGACAGGUGCUGCAUGGCUGUCGU